rnacentral:rRNA from 1 species
CCGCCGGCGACCGGCGCACGGGUGAGUAACGCGUAUGCAACCUGCCCGUUUCAGCGGGAUAACCCGGAGAAAUCCGGCCUAAUACCGCAUGUGGCCGAGGGGAGGCAUCUUCUUUCGGCCAAAGGAGGCGACUCCGGAGACGGAUGGGCAUGCGUGACAUUAGCUAGUUGGCGGGGUAACGGCCCACCAAGGCGACGAUGUCUAGGGGUUCUGAGAGGAAGGUCCCCCACACUGGUACUGAGACACGGACCAGACUCCUACGGGAGGCAGCAG